ACUCACUUUGGUGAAACGUAUACCAAAUUUGGACCGACACAGAGAAGAUUAGCAUGACCCCUGAGCGAAGAUGGAAAAAAUGGUAAGGCGAUCACUCGCGAUUAU